GGAUGCUAGGUAUUAGGGGAAAACUAAGGCAAUCCGUUUACAACCCAACUGGAUCAAAUACAUAACCCAAGCCCAAAACUAACGACCAAAAACUAAAAUAAAACUAAUGCUGCAGCUUCAAACGAAAUUCUGGAAAAUAAGCGCUCCGAAUCUGACUUCGACUCCAACACGAAAGUUGUAGCUCUUUCUCUUAGCUUUCCGGGGAUUAUUAU
rnacentral:lncRNA from 1 species